UUUUGGCCCUAACCGUUCUUAAACCACCAGGAGAGUUUGGUGUAGAUAUAGUCAUCGGAUCUGCUCAAAGAUUCGGCGUUCCUAUGGGAUACGGCGGACCUCACGCCGCGUUCCUCGCGACCUCACAGGAAUACAAACGAAUGAUGCCAGGACGGAUUAUUGGAGUCAGUGUGGAUUCCGCCGGAAAACCGGCGCUUCGUAUGGCAAUGCAGACCCGAGAA
rnacentral:lncRNA from 1 species